AGGACACAGCCCUGCAGAAAGUGAAGCGUGGCCAGAGCUGCCUGGAGCCCUGCCUGUGCCAGCUCGUCUCCUGCCUUGAGUCCUUUGCGAACCAGGAAGACAGCGCUUCCAGCAACCGGUUUGUGCUCCCCAACUCUGUCACACCCCCUUACUGACAUUUGCACGGGUGACCGCGGCCUACGGGUCGUACCAGGACGCCAACAUUCCCUUUCCUAGGACUUCUGGGGCCAGGUUCUGUAGAGCAGGUUACCUGGUGUAUUUCACAAGGCCCAUGACGAUGCAUCGGGCGGUGCCUCCCACAGAGCCUACUCCGAGGUGAG
rnacentral:lncRNA from 1 species